GACGAACGCUGGCGGCGUGCCUAAUACAUGCAAGUUGAGCGCUGAAGGUUGGUACUUGUACCAACUGGAUGAGCAGCGAACGGGUGAGUAACGCGUGGGUAAUCUGCCUUUGAGCGGGGGACAACAUUUGGAAACGAAUGCUAAUACCGCAUAAAAACUUUAAACACAAGUUUUAAGUUUGAAAGAUGCACUUGCAUCACUCAAAGAUGAUCCCGCGUUGUAUUAGCUAGUUGGUGAGGUAAAGGCUCACCAAGGCGAUGAUACAUAGCCGACCUGAGAGGGUGAUCGGCCACAUUGGGACUGAGACACGGCCCAAACUCCUACGGGAGGCAGCAGUAGGGAAUCUUCGGCAAUGGACGAAAGUCUGACCGAGCAACGCCGCGGGAGUGAAGAAGGUUUUCGGAUCGUAAAACUCUGUUGGUAGAGAAGAACGUUGGUGAGAGUGGAAAGCUCAUCAAGUGACGGUAACUACCCAGAAAGGGACGGCUAACUACGUG
rnacentral:rRNA from 1 species